rnacentral:rRNA from 1 species
AGAGGGGUGCGAGCGUUAAUCGGAAUUACUGGGCGUAAAGAGCACGUAGGUGGGAUAGUUAAGUCGGGGUGUGAAAUCCCCAGGGCUCAACCUGGGAAUUGCAUUCGAUACUGGCUGUCUAGAGUAUGGUAGAGGGUAGUGGAAUUCCCGGUGUAGCGGUGAAAUGCAUAGAUAUCGGGAGGAACACCAGUGGCGAAGGCGGCUACCUGGACCAAUACUGACACUGAGGUGCGAAAGCGUGGGGAGCAAACAGGAUUAGAGACCCUGGUAGUCCACGCCGUAAACGAUGAGAACUAGACGUUGGGGGGCAUGUCCCUUUAGUGUCGCAGCUAACGCGAUAAGUUCUCCGCCUGGGGAGUACGACCGCAAAAGUUA